rnacentral:rRNA from 1 species
GACGAACGCUGGCGGCGUGCUUAACACAUGCAAGUCGAGCGGAGCGGCGAACGGGUGAGUAACGCGUGAGUAACUGCCCCCCUCUCUGGGAUAACAGUUGGAAACGGCUGCUAAUACCGGAUAGUGGGGGAUGACUCGCGUCCUAUCAGCUUGUUGGUGGGGGAGUGGCCUACCAAGGCGACGACGGGUAGCCGGCCUGGGAGGGCGACCGGCCACAUUAGGCUGAGAUACGGCGCAGAGUCCUACGGGGGGCAGCAGUGGGAAGUAUUGCACAGUGGGGGAAACCCUGAUGCAGCGACGCCGCGGGCGUAAUGACGGCCUUCGGGUUAUAAACCGCUUUCAGCCAUGACGCGGUAGUGGCAGAAGAAGCACCGGCUAACUACGUACCAGCAGCCGCGGUAAUAC